rnacentral:rRNA from 1 species
UACGGGGGGAGCAAGCGUUGUUCGGAUUUACUGGGCGUAAAGGGCGCGUAGGCGGCGUGACAAGUCACUUGUGAAAUCUCCGGGCUUAACUCGGAACGGUCAAGUGAUACUGUCGUGCUAGAGUGCGGAAGGGGCAACUGGAAUUCUUGGUGUAGCGGUGAAAUGCGUAGAUAUCAAGAGGAACACCGGUGGCGAAGGCGGCAUCCUGGACCGAUACUGACGCUGAUGAGCGAAAGCCAGGGGAGCAAACGGG